rnacentral:tRNA from 1 species
UAUAGCUCAGUGGUGGAGUGUGUGCUUAGCAUGCACGAAGUCCUGAGUUCAAUUCCCAGUA